UACGUAGGCAGCAAGCGUUGUUCGGAGUUACUGGGCGUAAAGAGUGCGUAGGUGGUGCCCUAAGUCUGUUGUGAAAUCUCCCGGCUUAACUGGGAGGGUGCGGUGGAAACUGGGGUGCUUGAGUGUGGGAGAGGUAAGCGGAAUUCCUGGUGUAGCGGUGAAAUGCGUAGAUAUCAGGAGGAACACCGGUGGUGUAGACGGCUUACUGGACCACGACUGACACUGAGGCACGAAGGCGUGGGGAGCGAACGGG
rnacentral:rRNA from 1 species